rnacentral:rRNA from 1 species
GACGAACGCUGGCGGCGUGCUUAACACAUGCAAGUCGAACGGUAAGGCCCCUUCGGGGGUACACGAGUGGCGAACGGGUGAGUAACACGUGAGCAACCUGCCCUUGACUCUGGAAUAACAGUUGGAAACAGCUGCUAAUACUGGAUAUUCAUCGUCUCCUUCCUGGGGGGCGGUGGAAAGCUCCGGCGGUCAGGGAUGGGCUCGCGGCCUAUCAGCUUGUUGGUGAGGUAAUGGCUCACCAAGGCUUCGACGGGUAGCCGGCCUGAGAGGGCGACCGGCCACACUGGGACUGAGAUACGGCCCAGACUCCUACGGGAGGCAGCAGUGGGGAAUAUUGCACAAUGGGCGCAAGCCUGAUGCAGCAACGCCGCGUGCGGGAUGACGGCCUUCGGGUUGUAAACCGCUUUCAGUAGGGACGAAGGGUGACUGACGGUACCUACAGAAGAAGGACCGGCUAACUACGUG